rnacentral:rRNA from 1 species
CCCUUAGAUGUCCUGGGCCGCACGCGUGCUACACUGAUACGUACAAAGAGUACUUCUGCUCCGAAAGGCAGCGGAUAAUCUGCAAUACGUAUCGUGAUGGGGAUAGAUCCUUGUAAUUAUGGAUCUUGAACGAGGAAUUCCUAGUAAGUGCAAGUCAUUAGCUUGCGCUGAUUAAGUCCCUGCCCUUUGUACACACCGCCCGUCGCUUCUACCGAUUGAGUGGUCUGGUGAGCCUUUUGGAUCGCCAGCAAUGGCGAGAAAUCAAGCAAACCUUAUCACUUAGAGGAAGAACAAGUCGUAACA